GACGAACGCUGGCGGCGUGCUUAACACAUGCAAGUCGAACGGAAAGGCCCUGCUUUUGUGGGGUGCUCGAGUGGCGAACGGGUGAGUAACACGUGAGUAACCUGCCCUUGACUUUGGGAUAACUUCAGGAAACUGGGGCUAAUACCGGAUAGGAGCUCCUGCUGCAUGGUGGGGGUUGGAAAGUUUCGGCGGUUGGGGAUGGACUCGCGGCUUAUCAGCUUGUUGGUGGGGUAGUGGCUUACCAAGGCUUUGACGGGUAGCCGGCCUGAGAGGGUGACCGGCCACAUUGGGACUGAGAUACGGCCCAGACUCCUACGGGAGGCAGCGGUGGGGAAGAUUGCACAAGGGGCGGAAGCCUGAUGCAGCAACGCCGCGUGCGGGAUGACGGCCUGCGGGUUGGAAACCGCUUUCGCCUGUGACGAAGCGUGAGUGACGGUAAUGGGUAAAGAAGCACCGGCUAACUACGUG
rnacentral:rRNA from 1 species